rnacentral:ncRNA from 3 species
UACAGAGAGGGCAAGCGUUGUCCGGAAUGACUGGGCGUAAAGCGCGCGCAGGCGGUUUCUUAAGUUGGAUGUGAAAUCCCCGGGCUCAACCUGGGAACUGCAUUCGAUACUGGGGAACUAGAGGCCGAGAGAGGAAAGCGGAAUGACGAGUGUAGAGGUGAAAUUCGUAGAUAUUCGUCGGAACACCAGAGGCGAAGGCGGCUUUCUGGCUCGGACCUGACGCUCAGGCGCGAAAGCGUGGGGAGCAAACAGG